rnacentral:rRNA from 1 species
CGAAGGCAGCGUACCGGCGCCACACUGACGCUGAGGCACGAAAGCGUGGGGAUCGAACAGGAUUAGAUACCCUGGUAGUCCACGCAGUAAACGAUGAAUGCUGGUUGUCCGGGUCGAAUGAGACCUGGGCGGCGAAGCGAAAGCGAUAAGCAUUCCACCUGGGGAGUACGCCGGCAACGGUGAAACUCAAAGGAAUUGACGGGGGCCCGCACAAGCGGAGGAACGUGUGGUUUAAUUCGAUGAUACGCGAGGAACCUUACCCGGGCUCAAACGGGAGCGGAAUGGACCAGAGACGGUUCAGCCUACGGGCCGCUUCCGAGGUGCUGCAUGGUUGUCGUCAGCUCGUGCCGUGAGGUGUCGGCUUAAGUGCCAUAACGAGCGCAACCCCCGCCGGCAGUUGCUAACGGGCAAUGCCGAGGACUCUGCCGGGACUGCCGCCGCAAGGCGAGAGGAAGGCGGGGAUGACGUCAAAUCAGCACGGCCCUUACGUCCGGGGCGACACACGUGUUACAAUGGGCGGUACAGCGGGAAGCCAGGCGGCGACGCCGAGCGGAACCCGAAAGCCGUUCUCAGUUCGGAUCGGAGUCUGCAACCCGACUCCGUGAAGCUGGAUUCGCUAGUAAUCGCGCAUCAGCCAUGGCGCGGUGAAUACGUUCCCGGGCCUUGUACACACCGCCCGUCAAGCCAUGGGAGCCGGGGGUGCUUGAAGUGCGUCGCCGCGAGGCGCGCCCUAGAGCAAAACCGGUGACUGGGGCUAAGUCGUAACAAGGUAACCGUAA